rnacentral:lncRNA from 1 species
GCGGCGGCCGUGGCUUGUACUCGCUGAGCCGCAUGUACGUCUCCAACCUCUUCUACCCAUCAACGGCGGAAGCAGAAGUGGCGGCGGCGGGAGAGGCCAAAACCAACAAGACCACGAGCAGCGCCAGCGAAACAGGAUGGACCGGGAACAUCGAGCAGAUGCCAGAGCCGAUCCAUGGCGUACACUACAAACCGUUCAGGCCGGCGUUCUCCAUCUCCUCCUACCCCGGCGGCGGCCGGGCGCCGGAGAUGUUCGCGCGCCUCGGCGAGGACAAGCUCCUCUGCUCCGACGUGGCGGGCUAAACCGUCGUCUACAACCACAACGCCAUGGCGGGCUCCUUCGUCGGAAUGCCCAGGCGGCCGACCCCGCCCGUGGGGCCCAAGCACGUCGCCGUCGCCGUCCGCCG